rnacentral:rRNA from 1 species
GCGCGUCCUAGCGCUAUCAGAUGAGCCUAGGUCGGAUUAGCUAGUUGGUCGAUGAGUGAGAGUAGGCUCACCAAGGCGACGAUCCGUAACUGGUCUGAGAGGAUGAUCAGUCACACUGGAACUGAGACACGGUCCAGACUCCUACGGGAGGCAGCAGUGGGGAAUAUUGGACAAUGGGCGAAAGCCUGAUCCAGCCAUGCCGCGUGUGUGAAGAAGGUCUUCGGAUUGUAAAGCACUUUAAGUUGGGAGGAAGGGCAGUAAGUUAAUACCUUGCUGUUUUGACGUUACUGACAGAAUAAGCACCGGCUAACUCUGUGCCAGCAGCCGCGGUAAUACAGAGGGUGCAAGCGUUAAUCGGAAUUACUGGGCGUAAUGUGUGCGUAGGUGGUUCGUUAAGUUGGAUGUGAAAGCCCCGGGCUCAACCUGGGAACUGCAUCCAAAACUGGCGAGCUAGAGUACGGUAGAGGGUGGUGGAAUUUCCUGUGUAGCGGUGAAAUGCGUAGAUAUAGGAAGGAACACCAGUG